CUGAAAAAAAUAUUAGUCAAUGUGUUUUAUAGUCAAACUCAGUGUUGGCUGGAUUUAGUCAGCUUCAUAGCUGGUUUACAUUGCUAAGCACAUGCUGCUUUUGGCAGCAGUUUAAUGAUAGACAAUGUAUUUAGUGAGAUUUCCUUGUAUGCGAUUAUAAGACUAGAGGCUUUAUUCCUCAUGCCAAUUGGGGGAGGGGAACCUCAUUUUGUAUUAAAAUAAAUAUAGUAAUUUCUCUGCUGCUCUCCACUUCUUCUGGUGGGAAAAGUAGAUCAUGCCAUCCCAUUCAGAGGUGCAACUUCUCUCCCCACCUCUCACCUGACCAGCUCUGCUAAUGGCAGCUCUCCACCCAUUUGCUUGUAUGGCAGACACCUCUUCUUCUCCUGUGCUCAAUUCAGGUAGCCUUAGACUAGCUGCACUGGAUAGAGAAGAGCACCCCCCAUGUCCCAUUAAUUCUCUGCAUAGCUACUUAAGACAUGGGACAA